GCCGCAUUGGCGUAGUGGUAGCGCGCCCCACUUGUACUAGCAAGGUUAUGGGGAGGUCACUCGUUCAACCCGGGUAUGUGGCA